CAGUGGCCAAUGAUUUCAUCAACCAUGCCUGCAUGAUGAAGCCUCCAUAAAACCCUAACCAAAGCGGUUAGGAGAACUUCUGGGGUGAGAAGUCAUUUCUCCUUAUGGCUGACCCUGUAUUGAGAAUGAUACCUGGAGUGCCAGCUAGCUGACACAUAUCAGAUAGGAUUCGAGUAGAAUGUUGCAGAAACCCAGAGGACAUUUCUGAACACUUUACACUACUCAAGGUGGCAAAGGAGAGACAUGGAGCCAUUUGAGGUCAGAAGACUUCAUCAUACCUGGCAAUGGAUAUGUUUUUAAUUAAAACCUGGGUACAAAAUUGGGUUGACUAUGAAUCAUUGUGAUGCCUGAUCACUCUCCUAAGACACCCACCAUCAUUGGUACUGGUUGCUGGCUCUCGACACCGGAGGCCACUUUGUGUACUUAGCAGUUAGAAAGGUGAUGUGUGAGGCCCGGCAGCUGUUGAUGUUACAGCUAUUGUGUGGGAAACAAAAGCCAUUCUGUUCUGUUCCCCAGCCUGCCUUUGUAUCACUGAUACAGGAGCUGUUUCAUAAAUGAGAAACUAUAUCAAUCUAGGAAGUUUUCAGUAGCAUAUAAAAAACAAACUGGCCUAAACAAUCAAAGAAAUGCAGUGGGCUGUGUCGUUCUUCCCAGCCUUCAUCCCUCCCUGGGCUGUGUCCUUUGCUGUGUGAUUUUGAGGUUCCUCCCUCUAAAGAUGAGUUAUGCUUUAAACCAUACAAACAGAAAACUAACAUUGGAACCUAAAAUUACUGUCAAUGCCAAGAUCAUUGUGGUUGGUGCAUCCAGUGUUGGAAUUUCCUUCCUAGAGACAUUGGUAUUUUGAAUCUUUUGAAGAGCCUGUAAUGGCACUAGAAAAAUGCUUGCUGGAGUCAUGGAUGACAGUGACUGAAAGCAGCCCAGCCGGUGUCCCCGCGACCCUCCAUGUGACUAGAGAGAAACACUGAUUCACGGAAAACACUGGUGGGCACUGGAAAGCCUGGGUUCCCCUUGU
rnacentral:sRNA from 1 species